GGACUACCCGGGUUUCUAAUCCUGUUUGCUCCCCACGCUUUCGCGCCUCAGCGUCAGUAUCGGUCCAGUGAGCCGCCUUCGCCACCGGUGUUCUUCCCAAUAUCUACGAAUUUCACCUCUACACUGGGAAUUCCACCCACCUCUCCCGAUCUCUAGCCAAACAGUCCCAAAUGCUAUUCCCAGGUUGAGCCCGGGGCUUUCACAUCCGACUUGAUCGGCCGCCUGCGCGCCCUUUACGCCCAGUAAUUCCGAACAACGCUCGCCCCCUUCGUAUUACCGCGGCGGCUGGCAC
rnacentral:rRNA from 1 species